UGUUAGACCUUGUGGCGACAAAUUUACAUCUCUUCUCAGCUGCUAGCAGCAUAACCAAGCCGUCCAUGCUGUCGGCACUCUUGCAGACGUGUUACAUUGCACCGAUGAAAAGAACAGUUGUCCAGCCAAUUCAAGGGUAUAAAAGAGGUUGUUGCUGUUCCAUGGUCAUCAGUUCAGUCUUCCAGCAAUCUACAGUUCAACAGCUAAUAGGAUCUUCAUAAAAGCUAGACUUCUUCAGCAACCAAUAUGGUACAAUACAGCGUUCAAGUAGCAAACUUUGGGCAUGAGAAACUUACCAUCAAAUUGGGGAAAAUAGUCGGCCAGAUCGGAGUAAGCGAUCUUUUCUUCAAGUAGAUCCUUCUUGUUGAGGAAAAGGAUGACGGAAGAAGUAUCGAACCACGGGUGUGGCUGAUUUCAUUUGAAAAGCCCUUUUCACAUUGUGGAUAUGUUGAUGAACACCUACAGCUACAGGAUUUCAGUUAGAAGUUGAUGAUUAACAAAAUGUUCACGAGCGGUGCAGCAACGAUUACAAACCAAAUUGUUUCUCAGAAAUGAAGCAAUAAAUUUGUUUAAGAUGUAAACAUACAAGUAGCAACUAUGAGCAUACUGAUAAAGCAAAACCAACUCAAAAACUAACAUUAAUCAAAUUAAAAGUUGGGUGCAAUUGAUUAACACACUGUCUGCAAGUAAUUUAUUGAUCUGUAUGCACAGUUGCCACUGUCCAGGAGAAUAAAUACCACCAUUAAAUAUAAAAUGUACUUUG